ensembl:miRNA gmo-mir-27d gmo-mir-27d
AGGACUUAGCUCGCUUUGUGAACAGUUGAGUAGAAAGAUAAUGUUCACAGUGGCUAAGUUCCG